GACGAACGCUGGCGGCGUGCUUAACACAUGCAAGUCGAACGGAAAGGCCCUGCUUUUGUGGGGUGCUCGAGUGGCGAACGGGUGAGUAACACGUGAGUAACCUGCCCUUGACUUUGGGAUAACUUCAGGAAACUGGGGCUAAUACCGGAUAGGAGCUCCUGCUGCAUGGUGGGGGUUGGAAAUUUUCGGCGGUUGGGGAUGGACUCGCGGCUUAUCAGCUGGUUGGUGGGGUAGGGGCUUACCAAGGCUUUGACGGGUAGCCGGCCUGAGAGGGUGACCGGCCACAUUGGGACUGAGAUACGGCCCAGACUCCUACGGGAGGCAGCAGUGGGGAAUAUUGCACAAUGGGCGGAAGCCUGAUGCAGCAACGCCGCGUGCGGGAUGACGGCCUUCGGGUUGUAAACCGCUUUCGCCUGUGACGAAGCGUGAGUGACGGUAAUGGGUAAAGAAGCACCGGCUAACUACGUG
rnacentral:rRNA from 1 species